ACCUGGCUGGCUUAGUUAGUAGAGCAAGUGACUCUUGAUCUCAGGGUCAUGAGUCCGAGCCCCAUGUUGGGUG
rnacentral:tRNA from 1 species